UACGUAGGGUGCAAGCGUUAAUCGGAAUUACUGGGCGUAAAGCGUGCGCAGGCGGUUUUGUAAGUCUGUCGUGAAAUCCCCGGGCUCAACCUGGGAAUUGCGAUGGAGACUGCAAGGCUAGAAUCUGGCAGAGGGGGGGUAGAAUUCCACGUGUAGCAGUGAAAUGCGUAGAGAUGUGGAGGAACACCGAUGGCGAAGGCAGCCCCCUGGGUCAAGACUGACGCUCAUGCACGAAAGCGUGGGGGAGCAAACAGG
rnacentral:rRNA from 1 species